UUUUGCAGAGCACAUGAGCACUAAAAUUUCGAAAAGCCAAUUGCGCCAUCGGGUUCACUCCCGUUGGCACGUCUGGCUGAGGGUCUAUAUGUGCAAGAGAACUUACGUGCAGGCUUGGCGCACGUUCAGUCGGCGCGCUACUCGCCUCCGCGGUCAGCGGCAGGUGGGUACCGUGCUCAGAUCUUGAAGAAUGAUGGUCAUCUCGGCCGUGCGCGCGAAACCGGCCACCAUCAGCGCAUCGAGCAGGCUAGUAGGGCGCGACCGCUGUGUCCGUCGAGUGGCGCUGCAGUGCACCCGUGAGGCUUGUUGGCGGGUAGCAGUGGCAGCAGAUUUCGACACUGUGCUUGAAAGGACACACGCCCAUGCUCGGGUGUUUACGCUUUUGACCUCAUCUCACUCGUGAGUACCCGCUGAAUUUAAGCAUAUAAAUAAGCAGAAGAAAAAAACUAAAA
rnacentral:rRNA from 1 species